GACGUAGGGCGCGAGCGUUGUCCGGAUUUAUUGGGCGUAAAGAGCUCGUAGGCGGCUUGUUGCGUCGACUGUGAAAACCCGCGGCUUAACCGCGGGCCUGCAGUUGAUACGGGCAGGCUAGAGUUCGGUAGGGGAGACUGGAAUUCCUGGUGUAGCGGUGAAAUGCGCAGAUAUCUGGAGGAGCACCAGUGGCGAAGGCGGCUUCCUGGCCUGUAACUGACGCUGAGACGCGAAAGCGUGGGGAGCGAACCGG
rnacentral:rRNA from 1 species